GUACUGGUGAUGCGGGUGCAAGGAAGGGGGGGGAGCCAGCCGGCUUCCCAUCCUGCCUCUCUCGCGCCGCAGGUCUGGUGCUGCUGGGCGGGGAAGAAGGGCUGGCUGUAGCGCAGACGGCUUCCCUUCCCUGCCCAGCUGCUCCGGCGGACAGAAUCCCCCUCCGGCUCAAAUUUCUGGUUGGUUCCAGAAUUCUACACGUCAGAAUUCCAUCAUCUCCAUGAAAAUCAUGAGAGUGUCGCAGGCAAAUGCAGAGCUGUUCUUUCUGGAAGAAAAUGACUACUGAUGAAUGAAGGAGAAAGCGGCAAAACAGGAUUACAACUGAACAUCAGGAAGAAAAAAAGUAAUAAUUACUGAGGUGUUACAAAAAUGCAAUUGAUUUUCUAUUCCUUGGUAUAAUCAUCAAUCAAAAAGGAGACUGCAACCAAGAAAUCAGAAGAAUGGUAACACUGGGAAGGGCAGCCUUGGAUGCCCUAGAAAAGAUCCUUCGGUAUCAAGAAAUGCUACUGGAUACCAAGAUCAAGAUAAUUUAUGCCAUAGUAUUCCCUGUUACUAUCCAUGGGUGCAAAAGUUGGACAGUGAAGAAAGAUGACAGGAAGAAAAUGGAUUAAUGUGAAAUGUGGCGUUGUGGCAGAGUUUUAUGGAUAGCUGGACUGCCAAAAGGACAUAUAAGUGGGUUUUAGAUCACAACAAGCCUAGACUCUGCCGAGAAGCUAAAAUCAGUAAACUGAGGCUAACAUACUUUCACUUAGUGAGAGUAUAAGAUUCACUGGAAAAGACUAUAAUGCUGGGAAAAAUUGAAAGCAAUAAAAAAAAGAGAAUGACGUAACAUGAGAUGGAUGGAGUGACUCAAUAAAGGUAGUCAUGACCUUCAGUUUGCAAUUUCUGAGUGAGGAUGCCAGUGACAGGAUUACUGAAAAAUCACUAAUUCAUAUAGUCACUAUAAUUCAGAAGCAACUUCAUGGUACAUAACUAGGGGUGGACAAAGUUUUGGGGUAUUUUUCAUGUUUGAAUUUAUUAGACUCAACUAUUUUCGGAAAAAGCAAAAAUGCCAAACCCCCAUAUCAUUAUGGGUGUGUGGGUUUUUUUUGUUUUUUAAUUUUGGGGCUGUUUAUUAAACCUGCACCAAAAAAAUUCCGUGGCAUCUUUGAAUUUCUACAUGGGUCCCAGAGGCACCAGGCUGGGCCUAGCCCAGUGUUUGGAUCUAGGCCACUAGCUGCCCUCAAGACCCACAUAGAAAUUGGAGGUGGCAGCAGAAGUGCAGAGCUGAAUUCUGGCUGACCAGCAAGUAAAUGAAGGAGGGAGGAAGAAAGAGAGAGAGAGAGGAUCCCCACCCCAAUCUUUUUAAAGUGGCAGCAGGAUCAAAGCUCCCCCCUCACCAAAUGCCAAAAAAUUUGGCAAUAUUCAGGAUCCGCUUUUCACCCCAACACAUAACAGGCAUAUAAUCAGUGGCGUAGCUACAAGGGGACGGGGGGUACAUGUUGCACCAGGCACAUGCACCAGGCUUCCUCCCUCACCUCACCUCGCCCUGCCCCAGCCCACCAGCCUAGCCUGUUUUCAGCCAGCAGAAAGCUGCCUGGGUGCACUCUCAUUCAGCUCUGUACAUCAUAACUAUCCUUCUAACAUCACAAUAAAGAUCUGGUCAACCAGCA